rnacentral:rRNA from 1 species
GACGAACGCUGGCGGCGUGCCUAACACAUGCAAGUCGAGCGAAUGAAGUUCCUUCGGGAAUGGAUUUAGCGGCGGACGGGUGAGUAACACGUGGGCAACCUGCCUCAUAGAGGGGAAUAGCCUUCCGAAAGGGAGAUUAAUACCGCAUAAGAUUGUACUAUCGCAUGAUACAGCAAUUAAAGGAGCAAUCCGCUAUGAGAUGGGCCCGCGGCGCAUUAGCUAGUUGGUGAGGUAACGGCUCACCAAGGCGACGAUGCGUAGCCGACCUGAGAGGGUGAUCGGCCACAUUGGGACUGAGACACGGCCCAGACUCCUAAGGGAGGCAGCAGUGGGGAAUAUUGCACAAUGGGGGAAACCCUGAUGCAGCAACGCCGCGUGAGUGUUAACGGCCUUCGGGUUGUAAAGCUCUGUCUUCAGGGACGAUAAUGACGGUACCUGGGGAGGAAGCCACGGCUAACUACGUG